UUAAAAAUUAAAAAAAAAUAAAAAUGGAAUGAUACAAAGAAGAUUAGAAUGGCCCCUGCGCAAGGAUGACAUACAAAUUCAGGAACCAUUCCAUAUUUUU
rnacentral:snRNA from 1 species